AAUUCGAUUGAGUUUGAUCAUGGCUCAGGAUGAACGCUGGCGGCGUGCCUAACACAUGCAAGUCGAACGGAAGUAGCAAUACUUCAGAGGCGCACGGGUGAGGAACACGUAGCUGAUCUGCCCACGAGUGGGGGACAACGGCGGGAAACCGCCGCUAAUACCGCAUACGCUCGCCCUCUAUAGAGGGGGGUGAGGAAAGAUUUAUCGCUCGUGGAGGAGGCUGCGGCCCAUCAGGUCGAUGGCGAGGUAACGGCUCACCAUGCCGACGACGGGUCGGGGGUCUGAGAGGAUGGCCCCCCACACCGGGACUGAGACACGGCCCAGACUCCUACGGGAGGCAGCAGUGAGGGAUAUUGCACAAUGGGGGAAACCCUGAUGCAGCGACGCCGCGUGGGCGAUGAAGGUCUUCGGAUCGUAAAGCCCUUUUUGCACUGACGAGAACGGACGGUAGGUGCAGAAGAAGUCUCGGCUAACUACGUGCCAGCAGCCGCGGUAAAACGUAGGAGGCAAGCGUUAUCCGGAGUUACUGGGCGUAAAGCGCGUGUAGGCGGCUGGAUAAGUGGGGCGUGAAAGUCAUCGGCUUAACCGGUGAAGGGCGAACCAGACUGUCGAGCUAGAGGGUGGUAGAGGGUCGUGGAAUUCGGGGUGUAGCGGUGAAAUGUGCAGAGAUCCCGAGGAACACCAGAAGCGCAAGCGGCGACCUGGGCCAUCGCACGAGA
rnacentral:rRNA from 1 species